GCUCGCAUGGCUUAGUUGGUAAAGCGCGUCACUAGUAAUGACGAGAUCCUGUGUUCGAAUCACAGUGUGAGCA